rnacentral:other from 1 species
UAUCUUCUGCGGUGUUCGUGUGCCGGCUGGUGUUUCUUGAGCCGAUUCUUAGUCGCAAAGGGAACUGAACCGCGGCCUGUUGUGCAUGCCCGCACUAAGCGGGAAGCCUGAAGCGCCGCUCGCUGUUCCCACUUGAACCAUUGGUUCAAGACUAAAGGCCGGUAGCGGCACUGCGGUUGAUAC